GCGUGUGUGAAGAAGGCCUGCGGGUUGUAAAGCACUUUCAAUUGCGAAGAAAAGCCUAGGGUUAAUACCCCUGGGUCUUGACGUUAGCUUUAGAAGAAGCACCGGCUAACUCCGUGCCAGCAGCCGCGGUAAUACGGAGGGUGCAAGCGUUAAUCGGAAUUACUGGGCGUAAAGCGUGCGUAGGCGGCCAAGUCAGUCAGAUGUGAAAGCCCUGGGCUCAACCUGGGAACUGCAUUUGAUACUGCUUGGCUAGAGUAUGGUAGAGGGAAGUGGAAUUCCGGGUGUAGCGGUGAAAUGCGU
rnacentral:rRNA from 1 species